rnacentral:rRNA from 1 species
CCUACGGGAGGCAGCAGUGAGGAAUAUUGGACAAUGGGCGGGAGCCUGAUCCAGCCAUGCCGCGUGCAGGAUGACGGCCCUAUGGGUUGUAAACUGCUUUUAUACGGGAAGAAAUGCGCCCACGUGUGGGCGUCUGACGGUACCGUAAGAAUAAGGACCGGCUAACUCCGUGCCAGCAGCCGCGGUAAUACGGAGGGUCCGAGCGUUAUCCGGAAUCAUUGGGUUUAAAGGGUCCGUAGGCGGGCCUGUAAGUCAGGGGUGAAAGUUUGUGGCUCAACCAUAAAAUUGCCUUUGAUACUGCAGGUCUUGAGUCAUGGUGGGGUCGCCGGAACAUGUGGUGUAGCGGUGAAAUGCAUAGAUAUCACAUAGAACACCGAUCGCGAAGGCAGGUGGCCAACCAUGUACUGACGCUGAUGGACGAAAGCGUGGGUAGCGAACGGGAUUAGAUACCCCGGUAGUCCACGCCGUAAACGAUGGAUACUAGCUGUGGGGACUUCGGUCUCCGUGGCCAAGCGAAAGUGAUAAGUAUCCCACCUGGGGAGUACGUUCGCAAGAA